rnacentral:rRNA from 1 species
CCAAUAGCGUAUAUUAAAGUUGUUGCAGUUAAAAAGCUCGUAGUUGAAUUUUGGGUCUGGCCGGGCGGUCCGCCCUCUGGGUGAGCACUGUUCCGACGUCGGGCCUAUCCUUCUGGUGAGUCGGCAUGUCCUUUAUUGGGUGUGUCGGGGAACCAGGACCAUUACCUUGAAAAAAUUAGAGUGUUCAAAGCAGGCGUAUGCUCGGAUACAUUAGCAUGGAAUAAUGAAAUAGGACGCGUGGUGCUAUUUUGUUGGUUUCUAGAACCGCCGUAAUGAUUAAUAGGGAUAGUUGGGGGCAUUAGUAUUCAAUCGUCAGAGGUGAAAUUCUUGGAUUUAUUGAAGACUAACUUCUGCGAAAGCAUUUGCCAAGGAUGUUUUCAUUAAUCAAGAACGAAAGUUAGGGGAUCGAAGACGAUCAGAUACCGUCGUAGUCUUAACCAUAAACUAUGCCGACUAGGAAUCGGGCGAUGUUAUUCUCAUGACUCGCCCGGCGCCUUAUG